rnacentral:rRNA from 1 species
CCUACGGGAGGCAGCAGUGAGGAAUAUUGGUCAAUGGACGCAAGUCUGAACCAGCCAAGUAGCGUGCAGGAUGACGGCCCUCCGGGUUGUAAACUGCUUUUAGUUGGGAAUAAAAGGGGGCUCGUGAGCCCCGUAUUGUAUGUACCAUCAGAAAAAGGACCGGCUAAUUCCGUGCCAGCAGCCGCGGUAAUACGGAAGGUCCGAGCGUUAUCCGGAUUUAUUGGGUUUAAAGGGUGCGUAGGCGGACAGUCAAGUCAGCGGUAAAAAUGCGGUGCUCAACGCCGUACAGCCGUUGAAACUGGCAG